GGUGUAAACAAAUCCAACAUUCAGCUAGCAAUGCAUGAUUAAUAAAAAUAAAUGAAUAAUAUUUAAAGCAAUUUCCAAAGCACUCAGCCUAAAGCCCUCAUUUAUUCCUUGAUGUUUAUGUGCAAUAUAUUUUUCAAUAACUAAAUUCUCAUGGCUAUCCUAAUCUAAAUAUGGCCAUUAGUCCUAACUGCUCCCCCAUUUCCAUUCUGCUGUUAACACAAAUUGCACUUCAAUAAGCCAAAAAAGCCAUACACAUCAUAAUACCAUCUAAGUAACUCUUAACAAUUUUCACGCAUAUUUUUCCUU
rnacentral:misc_RNA from 1 species